GUGCCAGCCGCCGCGGUAAUACGUAGGGGGCGAGCGUUACCCGGAAUUACUGGGCGUAAAGAGGGCGUAGGCGGCCCGGCAAGUCAAGUGUGAAAUCCGGCGGCUCAACCGCUGGGCUGCGCUUGAAACUGCCGGGCUUGAGUGCAGCAGAGGGAGACGGAAUUGCCGGUGUAGGGGUGAAAUCCGUAGAUAUCGGCAAGAACGCCGGUGGGGAAGCCGGUCUCCUGGGCUGUUACUGACGCUGAGGCCCGAAAGCUGGGGGAGCGAACCGGAUUAGAUACCCGGGUAGUCCCAGCCGUAAACGAUGCUCACUAGGUGUGGGGGAGAUAAAUCCUCCGUGCUGAAGCUAACGCGCUAAGUGAGCCGCCUGGGGAGUAUGCCCGCAAGGGUGAAACUUAAAGGAAUUGACGGGG
rnacentral:rRNA from 1 species